rnacentral:rRNA from 1 species
AACGAACGCUGGCGGCAUGCCUAACACAUGCAAGUCGAACGAGCCGUCCGGGACCUGUCGCGCAUGGGUGUGUAACGGGUGGGAACCUGCACAUAUGUUCGGACUACCUCUCCGACAGGGGUGCCAUUAGGGGAUCAUGUCUUCGAACGAAGGAUUUUUUGACCUUGGUUGGUCACGCGUUGAAUUCGCUAGUUCGUACGGUAAAAGCCGACCAAGGGGACGAUCCAUAGCUGGUUUGAGAGGAAGCUCAGCCACACUGAGACGCAGACGCGGCCCAGAAUCCUACGGGAGGGAGCAGUGGGGAAUAUUGGACCAUGGGCGGAAGCAUGAUGCAGCACUGCCGCGAAAGUGAUGAAGGCCUUAGGGUUGUAAAGCUCUUUUACCCGGGAUGAUAAUGACAGUACCGGGAGAAUAAGCCCCGGCUAACUACGUG